GUUGGAUAAUCCCACUAAUUCUUAGUGGGAUAUGUGGCUAUAUGAGAUAUAAACACCUAGCCCACUAAGUUCCACUAAUUGUUAGUGGAACAUUAGGUGUUGAGAUUUGGCAAAUGAAUUGCAUGCAUUUUUGCAUGUAAUUAGGUUAUAAAUAGAGGUGUUUUCAAAUGUUGAAGGAGUUUUGCCUCUUUUAUCAUUUUCAUCAUCUCAACAAAAGAAAAAAAAAACCUUCCAAUCCCAUUUUAUCUCCAUUUCUUUCUACACCAAAAUUGGGUCCCACAACCCGGUUCUUUGUCUAGAGGAUAGCAGUUGAGUACUAGUGGUGGUCUCGGUUAGAAUUGGUGAGAAGAUAUCAAACCUUUUGAAAGCUUCAAAGGUAAUAUUUCUUAAAACCCUAAUUUGAUUAGUUUAUGGUUACAUGUUAAUUGUGGCAAUUAGGGUAGAAAUUCGAUUCUUUUUCCGCUGUGCAUGACUUAGUUCUAUCAUGUGGUAUCAGAGCAUGCUUCAUUUUUACCCAAUUGCAUGUGGUGGGUUCAUAUUUAUUAGAUAAAUUUUGGUUUGAACUAAAAUGGAUAUAUUAUGAUUUUGGCUCUAGAUUAAGUGUUUUUGUUCUAAUCAUUGUAAUUAGCCUUGUUAAUGGCUUAUUUUUAUUGUUGCAAAGUGUUUGUAUUUUUUUUAAAAUAAAAAAAAAGUCAUUAGAGUUGAAGUUAGGCUGUAACUGGUUCAACCGGGUGAGAGAAUUGAAAAAAAUGAAGAAAAGAAGGUCACAGACCCGAAAACCCGCCUUGACCCGCUUCGCGACCCGCACGCGCCCGCGCGGCCUCCUGCGUUCGCACGCUCCCGCCGCGCGCGCCGCCUGCGCCCGACCCGUGUGCGCCUGGGCCUGUUUAGUUAAUUGGGUCGGUUCAAGCCAAUAAAUUUGGUUUUUGGGCCGGUUCAAGCGGUUUCGGUUGGUUUUUCAGCCGGUUCGAAGUUUUUGGGAGUGGUUUUGUACUACACCAAAUUAAUUAUGUAAUAAUUUAGUACUUAGCUUAAUUUAGGAGCCAAAAAUCAGUCCAUUUUUUUUUUGGGGGGGGGGGGGGGGGGGGGGGAGAGAGAGAGAGAGCAUAGACUCGAAUGUCUGGUGAAGAUGUUGCACAAAGAGAAAGAAAGCUUGAGCAAGCUACCUAAAGAUUAAUCGUCCGGACUAAAAGAAAAGAAUCUUUGUGUUUAAUCUCUAAACUUGUAAUUGCAUUUUCCAUUCUUUUGUCUAUACCAUUUUUGUUAUUCUAUUGUAUUGUAUGUAUUGUUUAUAUUGUACAGUGGUCGAAGACCUAUAUUUUUCUUUAUACAUAAUCGCUCCUAUUCAAUCCAUCAUUUCUUAACUCUUCAUCUAUUUGUGUAUUACUAAGGAAGAAGGCUUGUGAACACCGUUCUUAAUAAGGGGUUUAACUUAUAAUUUUUAUCGCAUUAGUUGAGCUAUUUUUAUCACUUGUCCAGUGUCAAUCGCCAACUACCCGAGAGAGCAAGUAGCAAGGAUAAAGCUAAUGCGCACAAAGAGGAGUUUGAUAACAAACUCUUCCUUAGCGAGAUAACUUCCAACAUUUAUAUCCCAUAAGGUGAACAUGUGCGGACAAUAGGUGUUGAGAUAUAUGUAUUAUGAGCCAAGUUCCCUAGUUAUAAUUUGCUUAAACAAACAUAGUCAUUUGUAUCCCAAAAGGUGAACAAGUGUGGCAUUGAACACUUUGAGAGAAGGUCACCCUAAUCAUGUGCCAGUUAUGCAAAUAUAGCGGGUUAAGGUGAUCGCAACUCCUCAUCAGUUAAUAGCACAAAGAAUUUCCUUCAAUAUUCAUCUGCAUGCAAGUUAGUUUGAUUUAUUCCCCCCUAAGUUAGUUUACCCUCUGUGUGUGAGUCUAUGGUUGUAAAUAGUCAGUGCUAUUAUUGUCACAUUCUUACAGCUUAAUUGUCAUAACGCCUUAAUGCUAAAGUAAAAUCUUAAACUAACAUCUAAAACAAUUUCCUAUGUUCGACCCUGGAUCACCUAGAUAAAUCUAUUGUUCGCUUGCACUUGGGCAAGUAGUAGAAAACUUGUAUUCAACAAGGACUUAGAAACCAUGCGAUGAAGAAGUACAUGGGAGCAAUUCAAAUGCAAUGAUCAUUACUCAUGACUUAUUGCACGAGACCAAACACAAGCAAUAUUGAAAGUCAUGACAAGUGCAUUAUUCGCAAUAACAUGACUUAGUGAAGUACAAAUAUAAUGGUCUUUUAGCACGAAGCUAUUAAGACCUUUCAUACAAUAACAACUACAGGUCUCAUGAAAUAUUUGAGCAUGAAGAAAACAUUUAAAAACAUUGAAAUGUUUUCCUUGUCCUUGAUCAUGAAAUUAUUCAAACAUGGUAUAACUUGAACAUAGUCAUAAAGAUUUAUCAUAAAUCAUAACUUGAAAUGAUAACAUUGAAAUUUAUGUUUUAUAAAUCAUUUUGCAAGUUAUU
rnacentral:lncRNA from 1 species